UAAGGAAUAUUGGGCAAUGGACGCAAGUCUGACCCAGCCAUGCCGCGUGGAGGAUGAAGGUCCUCUGGAUUGUAAACUUCUUUUAUCUGGGAAGAAACCUAUUUUUUCUAAAAUAGCUGACGGUACCAGGUGAAUAAGCACCGGCUAACUCCGUGCCAGCAGCCGCGGUAAUACGGAGGGUGCAAGCGUUAUCCGGAUUCACUGGGUUUAAAGGGUGCGUAGGUGGGUUGGUAAGUCAGUGGUGAAAUCCCCGAGCUUAACUUGGGAACUGCCAUUGAUACUAUCAGUCUUGAAUACCGUGGAGAUGAGCGGAAUAUGUCAUGUAGCGGUGAAAUGCUUAGAUAUGACAUAGAACACCAAUUGCGAAGGCAGCUCGUUACACGAAUAUUGACACUCAGGCACGAAAGCGUGGGGAUCAAACAGGAUUAGAUACCCUGGUAGUCCACGCCCUAAACGAUGGAUACUCGACAUACGCGAUACACAGUG
rnacentral:rRNA from 1 species